rnacentral:rRNA from 1 species
GUUUGAUCAUGGCUCAGAACGAACGCUGGCGGCGUGCCUAACACAUGCAAGUCGAACGAGAAAGCGGGCUUCGGCCCGUGAGUAAAGUGGCAGACGGGUGAGUAACACGUGGGUAACCUGCCCGGAGGUGGGGGAUAACCCUCCGAAAGGAGGGCUAAUACCGCAUGACACCCCGGUCCUCUUGGGGGCCGGGUUCAAAGCUUGCCUCUGCUUGCAAGCAAGCGCCACCGGAGGGGCCCGCGCCCCAUUAGCUAGUUGGUGAGGUAACGGCUCACCAAGGCGACGAUGGGUAGCCGGCCUGAGAGGGUGAUCGGCCACACUGGAACUGAGACACGGUCCGGACUCCUACGGGAGGCAGCGGUGAGGAAUUUUGCGCAAUGGGCGAAAGCCUGACGCAGCGACGCCGCGUGGAGGACGAAGGUCUUCGGAUCGUAAACUCCUGUCAAGAGGGACGAAUCCCGGGCGGAUGAAUAAGCCGAACGGUCGACGGUACCUCUGGAGGAAGCCCCGGCUAACUCCGUGCCAGCAGCCGCGGUAAUACGGAGGGGGCCAGCGUUGUUCGGAAUCAUUGGGCGUAAAGGGCGCGUAGGUGGCUGUGCAAGUCGGAGGUGAAAUCCCUCGGCCCAACCGAGGAACUGCCUCCGAAACUGCUCAGCUCGAGUCCCGGAGAGGGCAGUGGAAUUCCCAGUGUAGCGGUGAAAUGCGUAGAUAUUGGGAGGAACACCGGUGGCGAAGGCGGCUGCCUGGACGGGUACUGACGCUGAGGCGCGAAAGCGUGGGGAGCAAACAGGAUUAGAUACCCUGGUAGUCCACGCUGUAAACGAUGGGCACUUGGUGUUGCGGGUAUCGACCCCUGCAGUGCCGAAGCUAACGCAUUAAG